rnacentral:rRNA from 1 species
GACGAACGCUGGCGGCGUGCUUAACACAUGCAAGUCGAACGGAAAGGCCCUGCUUUUGUGGGGUGCUCGAGUGGCGAACGGGUGAGUAACACGUGAGUAACCUGCCCUUGACUUUGGGAUAACUUCAGGAAACUGGGGCUAAUACCGGAUAGGAGCUCCUGCUGCAUGGUGGGGGUUGGAAAGUUUCGGCGGUUGGGGAUGGACUCGCGGCUUAUCAGUUUGUUGGUGGGGUAGUGGCUUACCAAGGCUUUGACGGGUAGCCGGCCUGAGAGGGUGACCGGCCACAGUGGGACUGAGAUACGGCCCAGACUCCUACGGGAGGCAGCAGUGGGGAAUAUUGCACAAUGGGCGGAAGCCUGAUGCAGCAACGCCGCGUGCGGGAUGACGGCCUUCGGGUUGUAAACCGCUUUCGCCUGUGACGAAGCGUGAGUGACGGUAAUGGGUAAAGAAGCACCGGCUAACUACGUG